rnacentral:rRNA from 1 species
GUUUGAUCAUGGCUCAGAUUGAACGCUGGUGGCAUGCUUAACACAUGCAAGUCGAACGGUACAGGACUAGCUUGCUAGUUGCUGACGAGUGGCGGACGGGUGAGUAACGCGUAGGAAUCUACCCAUCUGAGGGGGAUACCAGUUGGAAACGACUGUUAAUACCGCAUAGUAUCUGUGGAUUAAAGGUGGCUUUUGGGCUGUCGCAGAUGGAUGAGCCUGCGUUGGAUUAGCUAGUUGGUGGGGUAAGGGCCUACCAAGGCUACGAUCCAUAGCUGAUUUGAGAGGAUGAUCAGCCACAUUGGGACUGAGACACGGCCCAAACUCCUACGGGAGGCAGCAGUGAGGAAUAUUGGACAAUGGGGGCAACCCUGAUCCAGCAAUGCCAUGUGUGUGAAGAAGGCCUUAGGGUUGUAAAGCACUUUAGUUGGGGAAGAAAGCUUUGAGGUUAAUAGCCUUGAGGAAAAGGACGUUACCCAAAGAAUAAGCACCGGCUAACUCCGUGCCAGCAGCCGCGGUAAUACGGGGGGUGCAAGCGUUAAUCGGAAUUACUGGGCGUAAAGGGUCUGUAGGUGGUUUGUUAAGUCAGAUGUGAAAGCCUAG